rnacentral:rRNA from 1 species
CCUACGGGUGGCUGCAGUAGGGAAUCUUCCACAAUGGACGAAAGUCUGAUGGAGCAACGCCGCGUGUGUGAUGAAGGGUUUCGGCUCGUAAAACACUGUUGUAAGAGAAGAAUGACAUUGAGAGUAACUGUUCAGUGUGUGACGGUAUCUUACCAGAAGGGAACGGCUAAAUACGUGCCAGCAGCCGCGGUAAUACGUAUGUUCCAAGCGUUUUCCGGAUUUAUUGGGCGUAAAGCGAGAGCAGACGGUUAUUUAAGUCUGAAAUGAAAGUCAACAGCUUAACUGUGGAAGUGCUUUGGACACUGGAUAACUUGGGUGCAGUAGAGGAGAUUGGAACGCCAUGUGUAGCGGUGAAAUGCGUAGAUAUAUGUAAGAGCACCAGUGGCGAAGGCGGCUCUCUGGACUGUAACUGACGUUGAGGCUCGAAAGCGUGGGUAGCAAACAGGAUUAGAUACCCGGCUAGUC